UUUUAAAGACUCGUGGAAUGGAAAAUGAGGAAAGAUGUCCCCGUCCUUUCUCCUGAAUGCAAAACGCAAUUUUCUACCCCAUCCUUAUUGUCUCAGAAUCGAACAGGGUCAUUUUCAAUUUUCCAUUCUCACAGCAGUCAGGCUUUCCAAUUGCGCAAGGAAGGUGCCCUAAUUGUGUGUUCCACCAUACGUGCAAGUGUGUUGUACGUGUAAUGCAUGUGAUUGCUAAUCAAGUUCAAACUGACUUUAGAGUUUAUCCCCUUUCGGCAUUUAUACUUUUCAUGUCUUUUAAUACUUUUUUUGCUUUUGAUAAUCCCGAAACGCCUUCAGUUUCUUACGUAGAAAAACAUCAACUUGUCGGAGCUAAGGGAAUCGUGGACGAAAUGAUGGCCGCUUCUUUUCUUUUCUCCUUCAACUACAAUUUUGAUUCGACUUUUUCUCUGUUUCUCACAAACUACAUAGGCCCCAGUAGCUCAUUUGAUGAAAAGUCUUUGUUCAUCUUUAACUGAAGCUGACAAAAAUGAAACGAACUUAACUAGCACAGUCCUGGAAGAUAACUCCACGUCUAAAAGUCCGUGCAGAAACAUACAUCUAGGUGGAAUUCUUAACUUGAGAGGGCUGCAAGAAUUCCAAAUGGAAGUGAAACGAUACCCCAAAAAAGGAAACGCUCACAUGGGGGUUUUCUAUCACGUCUACCAGUUGCGUCACCCGACCUUUAACAAAUACUACCGAUACUUAUUUGCAACUGUCAGGUGCUGACAACCAACGGCCAAAUACGGUGACUUUGCUGUGACAAUGCCAGCAACAAUUUGAGCAAAAUCUUCUACACUAGUUUCUACAGUAAGUACAUUUGUGCCUCUCAUCCUAACAUGUAAAUGCCCGUAAAAAAAAAUUUUUCGGAUCGUGCAUAACCAACGAAAUAAUUCAGCGUAAUGCUAUGUACAUUGUUUUCUGGCCCGCUGGAUGUUUCGUAUGGUAAUGUAGGGCAAAUAGUUAACCAUCCGUGUGUGUUGAUGCACUGUAGAAAUGUGUCUAUUUUUAUCCGUCGACUAUAAACAUGAAGGGCGAGAAAUACCAAGGGUUUCCUCCAGUUCCGGUAGCUUUCGGUAUUUGUUUCGCCACGUGUUUGAAGGUGAAGCCUAAAACUUUGCAGUUCCUUUUUCUUUCUUAGGCGAAAUCCCAUUCUUCAUCACCGCUGUUGGCGAUUACAGCGCAGGCAACGGCUCGUUUGUAGUUCGGUUUGAUCCAAAUGUGUACUAGAGAUUUCUAGAGACAGUUAAAGGUUCGACAAGGAUUCCUUCCAGACCACUCGCUUUAACGUCCAUCGAUCUAUUUGAAAGAGCCGAUUGCGUCUUUUGUUGUCUGUUUGAAGCAGACCUUACCAUUCCGUUUUUUUUUUUUUUAAAUUGUAGAAUGAACAACUUUUCCCGGAAGUCGAAUUGGUCAAUGAGCGGGCGAGAUCCAGUAUUUUCGCGUUGCACCUGUGUACCUAUACCGGCAUUAAUUGCCUUAUAGACGUUACGGUGUUUCAUCGUCUUGCAACAUUCUUGUGGGGCAAUCUCAUUUGCAUUGCCUGUACUUUACUUGAAAGUAAAAACGUCAUGUAGCCCACACAGAUUUAAUCAAGAGGGCCACAAAAACAAGAAAACGUGGUGUCAUUUUGUGUUGCGAUGCACGUGUCGUCUUGUCUACCAGUAUUCUUUCUUGUUUAAGAUAUGAUUGUUUUCCUAACUGCAGUAAAAACUAGCAAACGCAUGUCUUAAAAAUGUGCUUUUGAUUGAAUUUAUUCUGUUUCAAUUCUUUGAACUUCAUUCAGAGUUUCUAGGGCUUGUUCUAAUUUCCAACGGUUACCGGGAUCUUUUUCAGUCAUUCCGUCAAUCAUGGCAUAUGCAUAAUGAUUCUCCGGUAAACCUAAUAAGAAAAACAUUUCACCUGCACUUUAAAAACUCGUUAUUCAUUCACAAUUCUUUCUGAUAUGCUUACCCAUCCUGCCAUUGAGGAUCUUUUCACCGUUUUUAAUAUUAGCGGGAGUGAAAACUUCAUUGGGACGCUCUCCAUUGGCAAACGGAUGACCGCCCUCCGUAAGGUAAUUGAAAAAGAGACAUCCCAGUGAAAAGACGUCAAUCGAAACGUCAGCGCGGAUUUUUUCUCUCUCUUCUAUGGUUUUCUCUUCCAUCGAAAUAAAUUCUGGGGAGUAAUAGACUCGUGUGCCUUUCGGUCCACUGGACAUAGAAAAACUUCCGGAGCCUGUGACUCCCCGGCUGAAUCCAAAAUCCGAUAUUUUCAAAAUGAAUGUUGGAGAAAUCAAUACGUUUGCUGGCUUAAUGUCUCGAUGGACAAAACGAUUGGAAUGGAUGUAAUGCAAUCCUCUAGUCAUUUGAAUCAUUCCGUCGAUCUCGGAAGGCAUUUUGUCCUUAUAGUCUCCUUUGACGUAAUCGGAAAGUGUACCGACGCAUAGUUCCAAAAUCAGAUACCUUAUAACGAAAUCAACAAACUGAGUGAACUGUGUUGAAUAAUUGUUACGUUCAUAGAUACUUGAAAUUUUGGUCUUGCUGAACAUCAAGGAGCUUGAGAACGUUAGGAUGGUUCAGAUUUCUCAUGGCGUUCUCUUCCCUUUCAUUAUUAAUUUCGUCUAAGUAAAAAUUUUGAAUCCUCUUAACAGCGACCUUUUCCCCAUUAAAAGUUCCUCUGAAAACACAGGCAGAACAACCCUCGCCCAAAACUUCUUUCUUGUUGUAAUCCAUUUGUCUAUUUUUAGAUGUGGACCCUAUUCAAGAGCCUAAUUGUAAGCAAAAUAACUUUUAUUAUACAUUUUUUAUAUAAAAUUCUCUUUCUUUUUACCUAAAUAUGACUUGUUUUCAGAAGUAUUCAGUCCAUCAGUUACGCACAACCAUUUAAGGCACUAUAGAGUUGGCUAACGUCCGAAGUUGCCAGUUCGAUGAAAUUGUGAAAAAAAAAUUGGACACGAACUAGUAAAGGUUCUUGCAGAGUCAUAGAACCCUGGUUCGUUCACGACAGGGGCAGACAGGGGGGGAAUCGUCUGUCUUUGUGCCUAAUUUCGGAAAUAGCAGUCAGAGCCUCCAGCGGGUGUGUAAUGCACUACAUCGAAUGCACCAAUAAGGAAAUGUCUUUGAAAACUUAAACAGCCAAUUGCAACAGUGAUAAGGAAACGAAUGAAGCAGACGACACUUGAAAAAUUAGAGAAUUUGUUGCAGUUCGAAUUCGAAAACAACCAACACCAGACCAGUGCACCUAAUAUAUUAAAAAAAUAAUAAUAAAAAAAAAAUUAAAAAAAAAUAAACAAUUCGGUAGGUAUUGAAUAAUAACAUACAAUUUAUUUCCUCUAAUUUUUUAUCAUAUAUAUUAUCGUUUUUUUUGUCAACAACUUGCAUGAGAUAGAAUUCCUAACUGCAGUAAAAACUGGCAAACGCAUGUCUUAAAAAUGUGCUUUUGAUUAAAUUUAUUCCGUUUCAAUUCUUUUAGCUUCAUUAAGAGUUUCUAGGGCUUGUUCUAAUUUCCAACGGUUACCGGGAUCUUUAUCAGUCAUUCCGUCAAUCAUGGCAUAAGCAUAAUGAUUCUCUGGUAAACCUAAUAAGAAAAACAUUUCACUUGCGCUUUUAAAACUCGUUAUUCAUUCACAAUUCUUUCUGAUAUGCUUACCCAUCCUGCCAUUGAGGAUCUUUUCACCGUUUAGAAUAUUAGCGGGAGUUUGAACUUCAUUGGGAGGCCCUCCAUUGGCAAACGGAUGACCGCCCAUCGUAAGGUAAUUGAAAAAGAGACAUCCCAGUGAAAAGACGUCGAUCGAGACGUUAACGCGGAUUUGUUCUUUCUCUUUUUUGGUUUUCUCUUCCGUCGAAAGGAAUUCUGGGGAGUAAUAGACUCGUGUGCCUUUCGGUCCACUGGACAUAGAAAAACUUCCGGAGCCUGUGACUCCCCGGCUGAAUCCAAAAUCCGAUAUUUUCAAAACGAAUGUUUGAGAAAUCAAUACGUUUCCUGGUUUUAUGUCUCGAUGGACAAAAAGCUUGGAAUGGAUGUAAUGCAAUCCGCUAGCCAUUUGAAUCAUUCCGUCGAUCUCGGAAGGCAUUUCGCGCUUAUAGUCUCCUUUGACGUAAUCGAAAAGUGUACCGACGCAGAAUUCCAAAAUCAAAUACCUUGCAAUGAGCAGUAACAAAUAGAUUAAACUGCGUUAACUUAUUUUAAUGAACAUUGGUACUUGAAAUUAGUGUCAUUCUCAACUUCAAUGAGUUUGAGAACGUUUUGAUGGUCCAGAAUUUUCAUGGUUUCCUCUUCCUUUCUCUGAGCAGCUUCGUCCAAAUUGUUGCCCACAAUUCUCAAAAUCCUCUUAACAGCAACCUCUUUCCCAAUAAAAGUUCCUUUGAAAACAAGGGCAGAACAACCCUCGCCCAAAACUUCAUUCUGGUUGAAAUUCAUGUGUCUAUUUUUGGAUGUGGACCCUAUUCAAGAGCCUAAUUGUAAGCAAAAUAACUUUUAUUAGACAUUUUUUAUAUAAACUUUUUACCUAAAUAUGACUUGUUUUCAGAAGUAUUCAGUCCAUCAGUUACGCACAACCAUUUAAGGCACUAUAAUAAGUGUUUAACAGAUCAAGAUAUUUAUGAUUCUCCAUUGCUGUUUCAUAUCCAUACCUGCAUACAAUAGAAUCUCUUGAUCUAUCAAUCCUUAAAGACCAAUCCAAAAUUCCCACUUAGUUGCCUUAUUUUAUAUUUUUUCUUUUUCAAAUAAUGAACAUUAAUCGUUUAAUACUUGAAAAUCACGAAAUGGGGUGUCCCUAAAACGCGAAAGCGAAACGCGAAACGAACAGCAACUAAAACGCGAAACGAACAGCAACUAAAACGCGAAACGCCGUGCGAAUCAAGAUGGUUUGUUUCGCGGUUUAGCCGCUGAAUGGUGUUUCAUUCCCAUGCUAAAGUGCGAAACAACGUUGCGAAACAGAAGGCUGCUGGAUGGCUGGCGAAAGCGCGAAAUGUUAAUAUUUCAAUAAAUAAAAAAAGAAAAUUUUAACAGGAAUCGCAGGUAAUUUAAAGUCAAACAUAUUUGCUUUUACCAACGUGUUGAAAGUUAAUUUUGGGCAAGGCUUUUACAUUUCUGACAGAGCCAAACAGUCUCAUGAGUUUUUUCAGGCCAAAUUUAACAUGCUAUGGAACCAUUCAAGGCACUCAGAGGUCAGAGCACUGGAGAACAUCCCAGUUAGCCCACGGCUUUACAUUUUUUGGUUUAAACUCAAUUUAAUUCAAUCAAUUAAUUUCAUUUACUUCAAUCAGAUUCUAAACACAUUGUUAUAUUUAAAAUACUAGUUUUUUAUUCCCCAUCGUGUUUAGUUUCCUAUUAGCCAAUACAAGUUAACAAUUCGUCGCGAAUUUGUUCAAGUAAAUGCCAACAAAUUAAAAAAGGACUGGAAAGAACCAUAGAUUUAAAAAAUGAGUUUUUGUUGGCGUAGAGCUUACAAUGCUUAUCGGGGUUACAUGUUCUCAAAAAAGAAUAGUACAUGGUUCUUAUUUCUCUAAAUGAAAUGCCAAAUCCAAUGGCAUUUUAAAAAAGGAUUUCGCAAAAUCAUUUCGCUAUUUAGGUUGCCUUUUUUGAGUGUUUCGCAGCCCAUUGCCUGGGGGCUGUUUCGCACGGCGUUCCGCGUUUUAGUCGCUGUUCGUUUCGCGUUUCGCUUUCGCGUUUUAGGGAUGCCCGUCUGCAUACUUUAAAUAUUUAAAAAGUUGUGAUAUCUUUAAGGCGCGUUCACACCAGAGGUUUUUCGGCUAGCCGAAAGAUGAAAGAUGAAAACUAUGGCAACCGGUUUUACCAACAUUUAUUUUUUCUUUUUCCCAAAAAAAAAAAAAAAUCUCUACUCUUUCGCCAUCUAGCGGUCGAUCUUGAACUCGGUUUCCCAAGUGAUUUAUUCCCUUUGUGUGACAUUGCACUAUUGCAGUUGCAGUCGAAGUCCUCGCGUUGCUGAGUCCCUCAAACAGCCUGCUGAUUUCUGAGCACAACAUCAAUCUUAAGUGAUUUCGUCGGCCGAAAGCGUCAGACGUUGAAUUCUGAGCACAGCAUCACCAUGGCUCAAAAUUAUUUGGUCGGCCGAAAGCGUCAGACAUUGAAUUCACCAUCUGAUAAGGGUAUGAAGGUGAAUUCCAUCAGUGCUGUACUUAAACAUUCUCUGUCAGUAGUUCCAUGUCCAGACGGGACAGAACAUCUAUGGGAUAGAAUCAUAUGCUACGUUGGACUUGGUUAUUCAGUGAGAAGAAUAACGUGAGAAGAAUAACAACACACAACAUUUCUCAUUAGACUUGCAGUUCCUCUUCGCGUUCAGUUAGGGAUGACGACUUCAAAGACAAAACAUCUGGAACAAGUUGGAAAGAAUUGCUUCUCGUUCCUUCCAACAACCGGCUUUUCGUAACAACUGUUUCUAUCUCUCGUUUCACCAUGUUGAAUUCAACUUGACCGACAUCAGCAGUACUGCAGGAGCGACGCUUUCACUUUCAGAGCCUCAGGAACGCGAGGACUUCGACUGCAGUAUCACACAAAGAGACAGUGUUACCACGAAAAAAAUCAUGAUCGGGAUCGUUUACUGUUAUAUUAAAGUCUGUUGGAGACAAUGUUGUCAUAACAUGCUGCAAAACUCUCCCUGUAACAAUUUCCCCUCCACUUUCUUUAAUGUAACUUUGCAAUUCUUCUACACAAAGAGAAAUACAGAUGGGAAAUAACAAAUGUGACACAAGAAAUCAUUCGUUUGUAGAAAUGAAUCGGAAUCUUUCCAAUACCAAAAGUCAGCAUCAUUGCCUGCGAGCCUGCCAAUGUUUUCCGUACUUGCCUUCAAAUAUAAAAUUUGGUCAUUGAUGUACAUCACAAUUGAAAAUAUAUCCAACCUAUGUACAUAA